GAAAUGCGAUAAGUAAUGUGAAUUGCAGAAUUCCGUGAAUCAUCGAAUCUUUGAACGCACAUUGCGCCCUCUGGUAUUCCGGGGGGCAUGCCGGUCCGAGCGUCAUUGCGAACCCCUCAAGCACGGCUUGUGUGAUGGGCCCUCCCGCGUCUUGGUCGUCAAGACGGGCCCGAAAUGCAGUGGCGGCUUCGCGGUUAUCCGAUCAGCCAGAGCGUAUGGGGACUUUCUCUCUGUCACACGCCCGCGGCGCGGACCGACGCCUGUCGACCUUUAUUCAUCUUUUUCUCGGUUGACCUCGGAUCAGGUAGGGAUACCCGCUGAACUUAAGC
rnacentral:misc_RNA from 1 species